rnacentral:misc_RNA from 1 species
GAAAUGCGAUAAGUAAUGUGAAUUGCAGAAUUCAGUGAAUCAUCGAAUCUUUGAACGCACAUUGCGCCCGCCAGUAUUCUGGCGGGCAUGCCUGUUCGAGCGUCAUUUCAACCGUCAAGCCCCCCGGCUUGUGUUGGGGACCUGCGGCUGCCGCAGGCCCUGAAAAGCAGUGGCGGGCUCGCUGUCACACCGAGCGUAGUAGCAUACAUCUCGCUCUGGGCGUGCUGCGGGUUCCGGCCGUUAAACCACCUUCGUAACCCAAGGUUGACCUCGGAUCAGGUAGGAAGACCCGCUGAACUUAAGC